rnacentral:rRNA from 1 species
UACGGAGGAUGCAAGCGUUAUCCGGAUUUAUUGGGUUUAAAGGGUGCGUAGGCGGACUAAUAAGUCAGUGGUGAAAUCUUGCGGCUCAACCGUAAUAUUGCCAUUGAUACUGUUAGUCUUGAAUGCAGUUGAGGUAGGCGGAAUGUGUAAUGUAGCGGUGAAAUGCUUAGAUAUUACACAGAACACCGAUUGCGAAGGCAGCUUGCUAAACUGUGAUUGACGCUGAUGCACGAAAGCGUGGGGAUCAAACAGG